UACGGAGGGUGCGAGCGUUGUCCGGAAUCACUGGGCGUAAAGGGCGCGUAGGCGGCGCGGGCAGUCAACGGUGAAAGCUUGGGGCUCAACCCCGAGUCGGCCGUCGAUACUCCCGGGCUUGAGCACUGUAGAGGCAGGUGGAAUUCCGGGUGUAGCGGUGGAAUGCGUAGAGAUCCGGAAGAACACCGGUGGCGAAGGCGGCCUGCUGGGCAGUAGCUGACGCUGAGCGCGACAGCGUGGGGAGCAACAGG
rnacentral:rRNA from 1 species